rnacentral:rRNA from 1 species
GAAUAUUGGACAAUGGGCGAAAGCCUGAUCCAGCCAUGCCGCGUGAGUGAAGAAGGCCCUAGGGUUGUAAAGCUCUUUCACCCGCGAAGAUGAUGACGGUAGCGGGAGAAGAAGCCCCGGCUAACUCCGUGCCAGCAGCCGCGGUAAUACGGAGGGGGCUAGCGUUGUUCGGAUUUACUAGGCGUAAAGGGCGCGUAGGCGGAUGUUCGCGUCAGAGGUGAAAGCCCCGGGCUCAACCUGGGAACUGCCUUUGAAACGGGACAUCUUGAGUUCGGGAGAGGGUAGCGGAAUUCCCAGUGUAGAGGUGAAAUGCGUAGAUAUUGGGAGGAACACCAGUGGCGAAGGCGACUGCCUGGACGAUAACUGACGCUGAGGCACGAAAGCUAGGGGAGCAAAC